rnacentral:rRNA from 1 species
CCCCUGAACUCUGGGAAUAAGUCGGUGGAAACGCCGUCUAAUACCGGAUACGACCUUCCACCUCAUGGUGGAGGGUGGAAAGUUUUUUCGGUCAGGGAUGGGCUCGCGGCCUAUCAGCUUGUUGGUGGGGUAACGGCCUACCAAGGCGAUUACGGGUAGCCGGCCUGAGAGGGCGACCGGCCACACUGGGACUGAGACACGGCCCAGACUCCUGCGGGAGGCAGCAGUGGGGAAUAUUGCGCAAUGGGCGAAAGCCUGACGCAGCGACGCCGCGUGGGGGAUGACGGCCUUCGGGUUGUAAACCUCUUUUACCACCAACGCAGGCUCCGGGUUCUCUCGGGGUUGACGGUAGGUGGGGAAUAAGGACCGGCUAACUACGUGCCAGCAGCCGCGGUAAUACGUAGGGUCCGAGCGUUGUCCGGAAUUAUUGGGCGUAAAGAGCUCGUAGGCGGCGUGUCGCGUCUGCUGUGAAAGACCGGGGCUUAACUCCGGUUCUGCAGUGGAUACGGGCAUGCUAGAGGUAGGUAGGGGAGACUGGAAUUCCUGGUGUAGCGGUGAAAUGCGCAGAUAUCAGGAGGAACACCGGUGGCGAAGGCGGGUCUCUGGGCCUUACCUGACGCUGAGGAGCGAAAGCUG